GAAGACUUUCCUCUUUCCAGAGGGAAGGCAAGUUGUCAGGGACAAACACAUCAGGUGGACAUGACCGGGUCCUUAGCAGUCAAGAGAGAUGUGGUCCCCACCACCAGUUGGAUUUGGGUCCCUCAUCUCAUCCUUGUCCUUGUCCCAGGCAGCGUCAGACCCCAGCCCUGAUGUUGACAGCCAGGUGAGGCUUGAGAGCCGGGCAUUUGAAAUGUGGACGUUGAGGACAUGGAAUACCAAGUGUGAACCCAGACCCCUCACCUACCGGCUGUUGAACUUUACAAAAGUUACCUACCCUCUCUGUGCCUCAGUUUGCUCAGCUGAAAAAUACAGACAAUAAUAGAAUUGCUGUGUGGGGAUUCAGUGAGGUCUCAUGUGUAAAGUGCUUAGGACGGUGUCUGGCCCCGAGAAUUCGUUCGUUCAACUGAUGCUUCAUGGGCACCUAUGGUGCACCAGGCCCCCUGUUUUAGGAGCUGGAGAUACAGCAAAGGAUAAACUCUUAGGAUGAGAAGCUGGAACCAUGGAGGGUGUCAAAGAGAGGAAGAAGAAAAAGAAGGUUCCUGCUGUGCCAGAAACCCUUAAGAACAAGUGAAGCAAUUUCACAGAGCUGAAGAUCGAGCGCCUGAGAAGGAAUUUUGCCCAAAAGAUGCUUCGAAAGACAAGGAAGAAGCUUUUCUAGGAAAAAGCGAAGCACUAUCACAAGGAAUAUAGGCAGAUGGACAGAACUGAAAUUUGAAUGCAAGGAAGGCAAGAAAAGCUGGCAACUUCUAUGCAACUGCAGAACCCAAAUUGGCCUUUGUCAUCAGGAUCUGAGGGGUCAGUGGUGGGAGCCCAAAGGUCCAAAAGGUGUUGCAGCUUCUUCGCCAUUGUCAACUCUCCAAUGGAAGCUUUGUGAAGCUCAAUAAAGCAUCAAUUAACAGGCUGAGGAUUCAGAACCACAUAUCGCAUGGGGGCACCCAAACCUGAAGUCAGUAAAUGAACUAACCUACAAGCGUGGUUAUGACAAAAUCAAUAAGAAGCAAAUUGCUUUGACAGAUAACACUUUGAUUGCUUGAUAAAUAUGUAAAUAUAGCAUCAUCUGCUAUAUGAGGAUCCAAUUCAUGGAACCUGUACUGCUGGAAAAUGAUUUGAAGAAAUAACUUCUCGUAGCCCUUCAAAUUAUCCUCUCCACAAGGUAGAAUGAGGAAAGAGACAACCCAUUUUGUAGAAGGUGGAGAUGCUGGCAACAAG
rnacentral:lncRNA from 1 species